CCACCGCUAAUCAGUCACUCUCGUAUGCUCGGACUGGCUGGACGUUUCCCUUUUCGAACCAGCGGACAUCCUUCACAUUCCAUUCCUACUGGCUGAGUGCAGUAUUGUGUCGUUUUUUUUUUUAUUUUUCUGAUAGCUGAGCGUAGAAUAAUCACUUGCUAGUAGAGUAUUACACACAAAAAGGUAUCAGUACUUCAGCUACAUCUACGGCGCGAGUGUCGAACCCAGCAGGUACCUCUACCAGAGAGGUUUGGGAAGCAUUGAACAAUCAUCAAUCCGGCGGUUGGUUGAGUCAUAUUGUCGGCCUAUGAGGUAUUGUGUCGUUGUCUCUCCGUGACUACACGCCCGAUUGGCGGCGAUUGAUACUUAUUAAUCUGUGCAGUGUAGUCACCAAAAUAACUCGCUCGGAAAACGGAAAGUGCUGCAAACCCAAGAUUGUGAAUGCGAAGGAAAACUAAGCGCGAAACAAGUGUUUGGAAAAAGGUGUGACAACUAGAAACCCCAUUCGCGCUCGCGGGUGACUGACGAAAUUCAAAACUGAAGAAAACUGGUGAAAAUCGAUUGGUUCUUUUUGGGGGAGCGCGUGGUACUUGUGGUGGCAAAAUUUAACGACUUCGGGGCGAUUUCAGUGACAACGGUUGUCACGUGAAACAAAAAAAAAAAAACAAAAACAACUAUCACAAAACUUAAGAGCAUUGGAUUUUUUCAUUCCAACAGAGCACUGCCAGCUUCAGCAUUCAAACAAAAAAAAUCGUCUAUUUACUAGGAGUUCGUUUCUCAGGACAUCGUGUGUAAGUGAAAAGUGAACAUCAAAAGUGAGAAAAACUUGUGGCAUCAGCGUCAAACGAAUCGUGUGGAUUUAUUCAUCCUGCGAAGCGGGUAUCUGAGUGCAUCUAGGACGAAUAUUUCUGGGAUUCAAAUGUUGCUGUAGUCGGACCAACACCUUCAACACCGAACCCUCCGAUUUUCUAGUUCUCUUUUAGCUUUAAGUCGUCACCUCCCUGACACCUAGACCAGAAAGUCGUCGUCACAAUCACCAGCACAAGCGGCAAACUGUAUCGAAACAAUGCACCGAAGUAGGAUACAUUGGCUGUGGCUAGCAGCGGUGGCCCUUUUGGUUGUCGCACCUUGGGCACCAGUUUCAGCGACACCUGUCCAAACAACGUCACAAGCAGAGCUCUACCUGUCACAGUUUGGCUACCUCAGUGCGAAAUUCCGAAAUCCCACCAGUGGGAGUCUGCUGGAGAAGGAUACCUGGGAGAAGGCAAUCAUGGAGUUCCAGAGCUUCGCCGGCCUCAACGUAACCGGCGAGUUGGACAGCGAUACGAUGGAGCUCAUGUCACUGCCACGGUGCGGAGUUCGGGAUAAGGUCGGGUUUGGGUCGGAUUCCCGAUCGAAACGGUACGCCCUCCAGGGCAGCCGGUGGAAGGUGAAAGCCCUCACCUAUCGGAUAUCCAAGUAUCCGUCGCGGCUGGAUCGAGCCGAAGUAGAUAAGGAAAUAGCUAAGGCUUUCUCGGUGUGGAGCGAGUACACCGAUCUGACGUUCACAGCGAAGAAGAGCGCUCCGGUACACAUAGACAUUAGGUUCGAGGUUAACGAGCAUGGCGAUGGGGAUCCUUUCGACGGACCGGGAGGCACCUUGGCGCACGCUUACUUUCCGGUGUACGGAGGCGAUGCUCACUUUGAUGAUGCGGAGUUUUGGACGAUCGGCAAAAGUCGGGGGACGAAUUUGUUCCAGGUAGCUGCUCACGAGUUUGGGCACUCGCUCGGGUUGAGUCACUCGGAUGUGCGAUCGGCUCUGAUGGCACCGUUCUAUCGGGGGUACGAUCCGGUGUUCCGGUUGGAUUCCGAUGAUGUUCAGGGAAUCCAAGCUCUCUACGGACGUAAAUCCGGUGGUAGCAGCGGCGGUGGUGGUUUCAAUCCACCGCGAACAACAUCCCGCCCGGUGCAGAGAGAUCCGGACUCUGAGCUGUGCUCCUUGCCAAAGAUCGAUGCCAUGUUCAACACGGCGGACGGCAGCACGUACGCCUUCAAGGGAGACAACUACUACAAACUGACGGAGAAUGCCGUGGCCGACGGUUAUCCGAAGAAGAUCGCCGAAGGAUGGCCUGGACUGAAAGGAAACAUUGACGCCGCCUUCACAUACAAAAACGGAAAGACCUACUUCUUCCAGGGGACCAAGUACUGGCGGUAUUCCGGCCGACAGGUGGACGGAGAAUAUCCGAAAGAAAUCAGCGAAGGAUUUACCGGAAUCCCGGAUCAUCUGGACGCUGCUUUGGUGUGGGGCGGUAACGGCAAGAUUUACUUCUACAAGGGCAGCAAGUUCUGGCGGUUCGACCCGCUGAAGCGGCCGCCAGUUAAGUCUACCUAUCCAAAGCCCAUCUCCAAUUGGGAGGGACUGCCCAACAACCUGGAUGCUGCCGUGCAGUACACCAAUGGCUACACCUACUUCUUCAAGGACGAUAAGUACUAUCGGUUUAACGAUAGGACAUUCUCAAUUGAUCAAUCCGACCCACCAUUCCCACGGCCGGUGGCGCACUGGUGGUACGGCUGCAAGAACACUCCAUCGACUUUCGACACGCUAGGUAAUGUUAAAGCUAUUAAGAAUGAAGAAGUCCAGCACGACAAUGUCGCCGAUGAUUUGAUUUUGGAUGCGGCAGAGCAAGUUCAUCCUUCGCUCAGAGUUAAUAACGAUGGCCGAGAAGUCUAGCAUGCAGCUGAACACCUCCUUUUCCCUGGUCGCAUAUAGCAACUUCAAACCCUUACUCCGCCUGUGUUGCCAUUGCAAAAUGCUACCAUUCGAAUGGUGAUACCUUCAUGAUGAAAGUUUUCUACCGAAACUCAUACAGCUUCCAUUCACCGCCGUUGUGGCGCUUUAGUUUUGUUAAAUCAGUUUAGUCUUGCUUUUGUUCGUACGUUUUCGUUUUGUAGUGGAAAAUUUGAAACCAAAAAAAAAAACUAUAUGAAUGAGAGAAAAUGUCUGGCCAUUUCAAUUCUAACCGAGCAUUGGACGAUUUUGGGGAAAUCGCUUACAGGGAAGAACAAGUGUGGCCAGAAAACGUGCUCGAAUGUUGAUUAUUAGUUCGGAUGAAAACAAGACACAACCAACACACCAACAGACAAACACCCCACUCUAUGGCCAACAACCAUCGAAGACUGCAGCCCAGCCAAUUUUAUUUUAUAGCAAUUAUGCGAAGAGAUGUAUGUUUUUGCCUCCAGCUGAUAGGUUUUAAGUAUACCAUUCCAAAGUUAUGUUUCCUUUGAACUUUUGUUGAGUUUUGUUGAACUUUGCCAAGGAAAAUCAUAGUGUGCAGCACUUUUUGAAAACAUGCUUAUAUAUCUCAGUAUCGAAAAACGCUAAUCCAAGUCUCUUUUCAUCAUGGUGGAAAAAGCAGCCGGUACCGAUGAGCGACCUGCCGGCGAUGACUACAACCGAGGAAGUGGAGCGAGUUCCACCUGGACCAAUGUCAGUAUUAUCCUGUUCUCUGCAGUGCUAGGACUCGUACUAAAAUUCCAAUCAGCCUAAGUCGAAGCGCGCGUGGUUUUGUUCAUCAUUUUUGUUACCAGUUUGCUCCGAGGAGUAAGUUCAGCGAUCGAAUGAUUGAGAUUUUGUGAUUCGAGAAGGGAAAAGAGUGAAGCCCCAUUCAACCGACUAGCCCAUGUGAGACAGAGGAGCAAAAUCAGAAGCAACAGCAGCAGAAGGAGAUGAGUUUUGCGUCAGAAAAUUGAUCUCACAAUUUGUUCCGAGCGCAGUUCAAACAACUAUACAACUAUUUCGAGCCAGUGACCCAGCCAGAUCCCUUCUCCAAGUAAGCCAGAUGGAAGUUCCAUCAUCUGGACUUUUAAGUGUUAAAACAGUUAAAUAUAUCGUGAUACAAAGAACUUAUGAAUAUUUUCCGGACCAGUGUGUUCUUGCUAACGCACAAGCAACUGAACCAAUUUCCUUAGUUUCAGUCCAAAACGUCUACAUUUUAUGUAUUUAAUUCUUUUUGUUCUACUUCAAUCAUCAUAGGAUUUCUAAUUGGUUUAUUCUAACAAAGAAACACAACAAUUUCCAGUCAAAGUCAUUACCAUAAGAGCCUUAAGAUUUUUAAUUAGGGAUUUACAUAAAACUUCGAAUGAUGCAAGUGCAAGGAAAACAGUAAACGGUGCCUUUUAUCGACUUGUAAAUAACCAUUUUAACUAAAGUAAUUCUAAACAGAAGAAAAACGUAUCAAGCGCAAUCUGAAAGAUUGCAAUGCAGUGAAAAAGAGGAAGUCACAUUCUAUUGAUUGUUGAUUGUUAUUUAUCAGUUUUUUUUUUUCUAAAGCCUUUGAAAAUUAAGCAAUGUUUUGUUAUCCAACAUCAAAGACAAAAAACAGGAAAAUUUCAAAUUUACCAUAUUUUCUUGCAUUUCCCUUCAAAUAAAUGUGAACUUGAAUGCCUUCAUUAUGUGUAUCAUUGCAGAAUUAGGAGAAUUUAUUAUCAUAAUUGAAAAUUUUGUACAUAUUUAUUGCGAAUAGACCUAGGAUUAAACCGAAACUAUAAGGAAACAGAAAACAAAACAAUUUACUGUUUUAAAUGA